AUUGAACGCUGGCGGCAGGCCUAACACAUGCAAGUCGAACGAGUGGCGGACGGGUGAGUAAUGUCUGGGAAACUGCCUGAUGGAGGGGGAUAACUACUGGAAACGGUAGCUAAUACCGCAUACCAUCAGAUGUGCCCAAAUGGGAUUAGCUUGUUGGUGUGGUAACGGCUCACCAAGGCGACGAUCCCUAGCUGGUCUGAGAGGAGGACCAGCCACACGUGGACUGAGACCCGGCCCAGACUCCUACGGGAGGCAGCAGUGGGGAAUAUUGCACAAUGGGCGCAAGCCUGAUGCAGCCAUGCCGCGUGUAUGAAGAAGGCCUUCGGGUUGUAAAGUACUUUCAGCGGGGAGGCGUUACCCGCAGAAGAAGCACCGGCUAACUCCGUGCCAGCAGCCGCGGUAAUUC
rnacentral:rRNA from 1 species